rnacentral:rRNA from 1 species
AGAGUUUGAUCCUGGCUCAGGAUGAACGCUGGCGGCGUGCUUAACACAUGCAAGUCGAACGAUGAAGCCCGUGCUUGCACGGGUGGAUUAGUGGCGAACGGGUGAGUAUCACGUGAGUAACCUGCCCUUAACUCUGGGAUAAGCCUGGGAAACUGGGUCUAAUACCGGAUACGACCAGUCACCGCAUGGUGUGCUGGUGGAAAGCUUUUGCGGUUUUGGAUGGACUCGCGGCCUAUCAGCUAGACGGUGGGGUAAUGGCCUACCGUGGCGAUGACGGGUAGCCGGCCUGAGAGGGUGACCGGCCACACUGGGACUGAGACACGGCCCAGACUCCUACGGGAGGCAGCAGUGGGGAAUAUUGCACAAUGGGCGAAAGCCUGAUGCAGCGACGCCGCGUGCGGGAUGACGGCCUUCGGGUUGUAAACCGCUUUCAGCAGGGAAGAAGCGCAAGUGACGGUACCUGCAGAAGAAGCGCCGGCUAACUACGUGCCAGCAGCCGCGGUAAUACGUAGGGCGCGAGCGUUAUCCGGAAUUAUUGGGCGUAAAGAGCUUGUAGGCGGUUUGUCGCGUCUGCUGUGAAAGCCCGGGGCUUAACCCCGGGUGUGCAGUGGGUACGGGCAGACUAGAGUGCAGUAGGGGAGACUGGAAUUCCUGGUGUAGCGGUGAAAUGCGCAGAUAUCAGGAGGAACACCGAUGGCGAAGGCAGGUCUCUGGGCUGUUACUGACGCUGAGAAGCGAAAGCAUGGGGAGCGAACAGGAUUAGAUACCCUGGUAGUCCAUGCCGUAAACGUUGGGCACUAGGUGUGGGGGACAUUCCACGUUUUCCGCGCCGUAGCUAACGCAUUAAGUGCCCCGCCUGGGGAGUACGGCCGCAAGGCUAAAACUCAAAUGAAUUGACGG